GGCGGCGCGCUUAAACAUGCAAGUCGAGCGAGAUACUAGAGAAAGCUUGCUUUCUAAUAGGUCUAGCGGCAGACGGGUGAGUAACACGUAGAUAAUUUGCCCUUUAGCGGGGGAUAGCCUACCGAAAGGUGGGGUAAUACCGCGUAUGAUCAUAGGAUGGCAUCAUCCAUUGAUAAAAGGUCCGCAAGGAUCGCUAAAGGAGAAAUCUGCGGCCUAUCAGCUUGUUGGUGAGGUAACGGCUCACCAAGGCAACGACGGGUAUCCGACCUGAAAGGGUGACCGGACACACUGACACUGGGACACGGGUCAGACUCCUACGGGAGGCAGCAGUGAGGAAUUUUGGACAAUGGGGGGAACCCUGAUCCAGCGACGCCGCGUGAAGGACGAAGGUCUUCGGAUUGUAAACUUCUUUUGCAGGGGAACAAGAAAUCUAUGGAAACAUAGGGAGUGAGGGUACCCCGAGAAUAAGCCACGGCUAACUUCGUGCCAGCAGCCGCGGUAAUACGAAGGUGGCAAGCGUUACUCGGAAUUACUAGGCGUAAAGGGUGGGUAGGUUGUCUGAUAAGUCUGCUGUGAAAGCUCCCGGCUUAACUGGGA
rnacentral:rRNA from 1 species